GAAAGUAGAAACCCCCAAACCCUCCUCCCCUUCUCCGCGCACCACCUGCCGCCGGAAACCCUAGAUCUCCCCCGACCCAUGGAUCCGCAGCAGCCGGUGUAGCUUUGCUUCGUUCUCGGACUUCGGUCACGCCGACCUUGCGACGGCUGAGCUCGCUAGCAAGCAGGGGUCUCUAGGAUUGGAUUAUUUGAUUCCUUUCUGGAGCUGCGGCUUCGGUUUUUGUAUCCCCCAAUCCUGUGAUCCGCUGCUAAAUCGAGGGUUUAAUCUGGGAUUGGUCCUGAGAUUUGGCGUUUUUGUUACUCCCGGCCUGUUCUGCUUUCCCAUGACUAGUGUUUAGUUUUAACUUUUUCGUCUCCGCUAUCUUCCUCAAUCCUUUUCUUUUAUGCGAAAUAAGGAGAAACUGGAUUUCACUUUCGUUUUAUUUGAUUUGGAAACCAUGUAACUUGGAUCUCUUCUAGUCUAUAUGCAGGGUGUUACAUGAUACUUUAAUUCCCACCCUUGACACUUGUAUAUUCUGUAAGAUGAGAUGCAUUUGUUUUUUUCCUAUGUGUACAACUCUACCUUCACUUGUAUCCUGAAACAGGCGUUUAACACUCCUUUGGAUAUCACUUUGUUUGCCACAUUCUUCACUGUUUAAGUUUAUGUUCUUCAAAAUCCAAAUGACAUCGCUAGCAUACUUUAUCUGUUCUUGACCCCACUAGUAGGGCUUCUGAUAUACAACUUAUGUUCUUCAAAAUCCAAAUGACAUCGCUAGCAUACUGUAUCUGUUCUUGACCCCACUAGUAGGGCUUCUGAUAUGCAACUUAGUACGGUAAACAUUUUGCAGUCCGCAGUGCUACACUUAGGUUACUCAAUGAGGUUUUGUAGGAUAUUGUGCUACUAAGUUCUGAACAUUACUUGUACCUUUGCACUAACUGAAAAUUGUGGUGAUUUUGAUUUUCUUGUGUCCACAGUUAGAACACAGCAUUUCAUUUAUCUUAUUAUCUAUGAGUUUUCUGGUUCAGUCAUUACAGAAAGGGACUGAAGUUGUCAUGUAGCUAGCAACCUAGUACUUUGUAUAGCCUUGUGCACUUAAAAAAGACAAAUUAUGUGCCCAUUCAAAAGUGAUGAUUGAUUUAGUUAUUGUUACAGUUGGUUAACUUAAUUGUAUCCAAAAGUCUUGUCAUUAACAGUUAAAAUAUAGCCAGGUGUGAGCCCUUAUAAACAUAUACAUGGGAAGCCUUUGAUAUAUCCUAUAUGUUUCUCACAUAAUAGCAAAGUUCAUCCCAAAUCUUAUAUUAUUUGAAAUGAGCCCAUAGCUGCAGCUUGCCUUCGAAACAUAUCUAUGGGGAUAUGAUGAGGUUAAACUGCGAUAACUGAACUUAAUGGUUUAGAAGGAGAUUACCUGUAAUAGGGGGGAGGUUGUCGCCUGUCUUUUAGUUAAAGCCAUAGAUAGUUAAGGGUUUAGUGUGGACAUAGGGUUAUCUACAUAAAGAUUGGUUGUGGUGGCAUGCCACAAAAUGUUGGGACGGCAGUACUGCACGUAUCAUGUAGGAGCAUUGCUGAUUUUACUCCUGAAAUGCAGUGAAAUGUCCUUCAUUGUCAAGGAUUAAAACAGGCACCUGAUCUUUUAGACACUUUUAGUAUGUAAUACUUACUGCUUAGGAAAACGACAAUUUUCAUACAUUGACCUUUAUUGUUUGACAAACAUAGUGCAACGUAUAGGAACAGCUUAGUCUGAAAAUGGUAGUUGAAUUAGGAUUGCGAAAUUUGAUAUAUGGUUGAUAACCUGAAUUUGAUAUGCAUUCUUCACUUUAUCUUUGCCCCCAUGUGCAAUUUCUCACUAAAUGUUUUGUUUCUUGUACAGUUGUCCAAUAUGAAGCGCGCUGAAGACAAAAGGAGAAACAGAAUGCUGUUAGUCGUCCCUCUACCUAUGUAAUGAGCUUCCUGAGGGAAAUGGAAAUGUAAGACGCAAUGUUUGAAUGCUGUGUGCGUCCAUUGGACUCGAGAGAUAUUACAGUACUAUGAUUGGUGACGGGUCUUGUUGACUCUUGAGUGGUGCAGAUCUAAUGCAUGCAUUAUACCUGAAUUGUUCACGGGCCUUUUCCAUUUUUGCCUCCGAUGCUCCAUCUACUUUUAUAAGAUACAUCCGCAC
rnacentral:lncRNA from 1 species